rnacentral:rRNA from 1 species
ACCUAACGAGCCUAGUGAUAGCUGGUUACUUGAGAAAAGAAUUUAAGUCCAACCUAAAAUUUUCCUCUUACAAUAAAAAUACUAUGAUUUUAGAGCAAUUCAAAUAAGGUACAGCCUAUUUGAAACAGGAUACAACCUAAAAUGACGGGUAAGAUAUUCCCAUUUACCUCAGUAGACUUAAGAGCAGUCAUCUACUUAAAAGCGUCAUAGCUUAGCUAAAGUCACAAUACAAUCCCCACCCUUAUCUCAAACCCUCCCCCCCCAUCGAGUAGUUCUAUAAAUUUAUAGAAGAUUUUAUGUUAAAACUAGUAACAAGAAGGACGACCUUCUCUUCAAUGCAAAUAUAAACCAGAAAGGACAAGCCACUGGUAGUUAACGUCUCUGAACACAAAUUAGCAAAUUCACAAGAAAAAACUUAUGCUACAUACGUUAACCUGACACAAGAGCAUUAUAAGAAAGAUUAAAAGAAAAGGAAGGAACUCGGCAAAUAUUAACCCCGCCUGUUUACCAAAAACAUCGCCUCUUGACUAAAAAUAAGAGGUCCCGCCUGCCCAGUGACUCAUGUUCAACGGCCGCGGUAUCCUAACCGUGCGAAGGUAGCGUAAUCACUUGUUCUUUAAAUGGGGACUAGUAUGAAUGGCACCACGAGGGUUAUACUGUCUCCCUUUUUUAAUCAGUGAAACUAAUCUCCCCGUGAAGAAGCGGGGGUAUAACUAUAAGACGAGAAGACCCUAUGGAGCUUUAAAUUUCAAUUCAAAUGCCAUCUAAUCCUAAAAGUUUCAACUUUUUUUCUCCCCAAGCCUGGCAUUAUGAAAUAGAAUUUUAGGUUGGGGUGACCGCGGAGCACAAUACAACCUCCACAUUGAACUAGGCCUACCACCUUGAGCAAUGAACUACGAUCCUAUGCACAAAAAAAUUUAUAUUCAUUGACCCAAUUUUUUUGAUCAACGAACCAAGUUACCCUAGGGAUAACAGCGCAAUCCUCUUCAAGAGCUCCUAUCGCCAAGAGGGUUUACGACCUCGAUGUUGGAUCAGGGUAUCCCAGUGGCGCAGCCGCUACUAAUGGUUCGU